rnacentral:rRNA from 1 species
GCUAGCUACAGGCUUAACACAUGCAAGUCGAGGGGCAGCAUGGUCUUAGCUUGCUAAGGCCGAUGGCGACCGGCGCACGGGUGAGUAACACGUAUCCAACCUGCCGUCUACUCUUGGACAGCCUUCUGAAAGGAAGGUUAAUACAAGAUGGCAUCAUGAGUCCGCAUGUUCACAUGAUUAAAGGUAUUCCGGUAGACGAUGGGGAUGCGUUCCAUUAGAUAGUAGGCGGGGUAACGGCCCACCUAGUCUUCGAUGGAUAGGGGUUCUGAGAGGAAGGUCCCCCACAUUGGAACUGAGACACGGUCCAAACUCCUACGGGAGGCAGCAGUGAGGAAUAUUGGUCAAUGGGCGAGAGCCUGAACCAGCCAAGUAGCGUGAAGGAUGACUGCCCUAUGGGUUGUAAACUUCUUUUAUAAAGGAAUAAAGUCGGGUAUGGAUACCCGUUUGCAUGUACUUUAUGAAUAAGGAUCGGCUAACUCCGUGCCAGCAGCCGCGGUAAUACGGAGGAUCCGAGCGUUAUCCGGAUUUAUUGGGUUUAAAGGGAGCGUAGAUGGAUGUUUAAGUCAGUUGUGAAAGUUUGCGGCUCAACCGUAAAAUUGCAGUUGAUACUGGAUAUCUUGAGUGCAGUUGAGGCAGGCGGAAUUCGUGGUGUAGCGGUGAAAUGCUUAGAUAUCACGAAGAACUCCGAUUGCGAAGGCAGCCUGCUAAGCUGCAACUGACAUUGAGGCUCGAAAGUGUGGGUAUCAAACAGGAUUAGAUACCCUGGUAGUCCACACGGUAAACGAUGAAUACUCGCUGUUUGCGAUAUACUGCAAGCGGCCAAGCGAAAGCGUUAAGUAUUCCACCUGGGGAGUACGCCGGCAACGGUGAAACUCAAAGGAAUUGACGGGGGCCCGCACAAGCGGAGGAACAUGUGGUUUAAUUCGAUGAUACGCGAGGAACCUUACCCGGGCUUAAAUUGCAGAUGAAUUACGGUGAAAGCCGUAAGCCGCAAGGCAUCUGUGAAGGUGCUGCAUGGUUGUCGUCAGCUCGUGCCGUGAGGUGUCGGCUUAAGUGCCAUAACGAGCGCAACCCUUGUUGUCAGUUACUAACAGGUCAUGCUGAGGACUCUGACAAGACUGCCAUCGUAAGAUGUGAGGAAGGUGGGGAUGACGUCAAAUCAGCACGGCCCUUACGUCCGGGGCUACACACGUGUUACAAUGGGGGGUACAGAGGGCCGCUACUACGCGAGUGGAUGCCAAUCCCCAAAACCUCUCUCAGUUCGGACUGGAGUCUGCAACCCGACUCCACGAAGCUGGAUUCGCUAGUAAUCGCGCAUCAGCCACGGCGCGGUGAAUACGUUCCCGGGCCUUGUACACACCGCCCGUCAAGCCAUGGGAGCCGGGGGUACCUGAAGUGCGUAACCGCGAGGAGCGCCCUAGGGUAAAACUGGUGACUGGGGCUAAAU